GGUGAACGCUGGCGGCGUGCCUAACACAUGCAAGUCGAACGAACAGACGCUGAGCUUGUGCCGUUGACGUUAGCGGCGGGCGGGUGUGUAACGCGUGGAUCAUCUCCUUAUAUUUCGGGGAUCAUUACGGAAAACCGGAUAUAAUACCAGAGAAUAUAUUGAACCGCAGGGGUCAUUGGAGAAUUUCGGCUUUGGUGUCUGUAAUAGCUGGUUCCGCGCUGCAUUGUCUGGUAGGUAGGGUCACAGCCUAUCAAGGGGACGAGGCGUAGCCGAACUGAGGGGGGGGUAGGCCACCCGGGAACUGAGACAGGGUCAAGACUCCUACGGGAGGCAGCAGUGGGGAAUCUUCGGCAAUGGGCGAAAGCAUGACACAGCAAGGCCGCGUGAGUGAUGAAGGCCUUGGGAUCGUAAAGCCCUGUUAUUGGGGAAGAACAGCUGUGUACUUAGACGUAGAGGUCGUGACGGUACCGAAUAAAAAAGCAACGGCUAACUACGUG
rnacentral:rRNA from 1 species